rnacentral:rRNA from 1 species
AGCGUACACGGUGGAUGCCCUGGCAGUCAGAGGCGAUGAAGGACGUGCUAAUCUGCGAUAAGCGUCGGUAAGGUGAUAUGAACCGUUAUAACCGGCGAUUUCCGAAUGGGGAAACCCAGUGUGAUUCGUCACACUAUCAUUAACUGAAUCCAUAGGUUAAUGAGGCGAACCGGGGGAACUGAAACAUCUAAGUACCCCGAGGAAAAGAAAUCAACCGAGAUUCCCCCAGUAGCGGCGAGCGAACGGGGAGGAGCCCAGAGCCUGAAUCAGUGUGUGUGUUAGUGGAAGCGUCUGGAAAGGCGCGCGAUACAGGGUGACAGCCCCGUACACAAAAAUGCACAUGCUGUGAGCUCGAUGAGUAGGGCGGGACACGUGGUAUCCUGUCUGAAUAUGGGGGGACCAUCCUCCAAGGCUAAAUACUCCUGACUGACCGAUAGUGAACCAGUACCGUGAGGGAAAGGCGAAAAGAACCCCGGCGAGGGGAGUGAAAAAGAACCUGAAACCGUGUACGUACAAGCAGUGGGAGCACAGAGCAAUCUGUGUGACUGCGUACCUUUUGUAUAAUGGGUCAGCGACUUAUAUUCUGUAGCAAGGUUAACCGAAUAGGGGAGCCGAAGGGAAACCGAGUCUUAACUGGGCGUUAAGUUGCAGGGUAUAGACCCGAAACCCGGUGAUCUAGCCAUGGGCAGGUUGAAGGUUGGGUAACACUAACUGGAGGACCGAACCGACUAAUGUUGAAAAAUUAGCGGAUGACUUGUGGCUGGGGGUGAAAGGCCAAUCAAACCGGGAGAUAGCUGGUUCUCCCCGAAAGCUAUUUAGGUAGCGCCUCGUGAAUUCAUCUCCGGGGGUAGAGCACUGUUUCGGCAAGGGGGUCAUCCCGACUUACCAACCCGAUGCAAACUGCGAAUACCGGAGAAUGUUAUCACGGGAGACACACGGCGGGUGCUAACGUCCGUCGUGAAGAGGGAAACAACCCAGACCGCCAGCUAAGGUCCCAAAGUCAUGGUUAAGUGGGAAACGAUGUGGGAAGGCCCAGACAGCCAGGAUGUUGGCUUAGAAGCAGCCAUCAUUUAAAGAAAGCGUAAUAGCUCACUGGUCGAGUCGGCCUGCGCGGAAGAUGUAACGGGGCUAAACCAUGCACCGAAGCUGCGGCAGCGACGCUUAUGCGUUGUUGGGUAGGGGAGCGUUCUGUAAGCCUGUGAAGGUGUACUGUGAGGUAUGCUGGAGGUAUCAGAAGUGCGAAUGCUGACAUAAGUAACGAUAAAGCGGGUGAAAAGCCCGCUCGCCGGAAGACCAAGGGUUCCUGUCCAACGUUAAUCGGGGCAGGGUGAGUCGACCCCUAAGGCGAGGCCGAAAGGCGUAGUCGAUGGGAAACAGGUUAAUAUUCCUGUACUUGGUGUUACUGCGAAGGGGGGACGGAGAAGGCUAUGUUGGCCGGGCGACGGUUGUCCCGGUUUAAGCGUGUAGGCUGGUUUUCCAGGCAAAUCCGGAAAAUCAAGGCUGAGGCGUGAUGACGAGGCACUACGGUGCUGAAGCAACAAAUGCCCUGCUUCCAGGAAAAGCCUCUAAGCAUCAGGUAACAUCAAAUCGUACCCCAAACCGACACAGGUGGUCAGGUAGAGAAUACCAAGGCGCUUGAGAGAACUCGGGUGAAGGAACUAGGCAAAAUGGUGCCGUAACUUCGGGAGAAGGCACGCUGAUAUGUAGGUGAAGUCCCUCGCGGAUGGAGCUGAAAUCAGUCGAAGAUACCAGCUGGCUGCAACUGUUUAUUAAAAACACAGCACUGUGCAAACACGAAAGUGGACGUAUACGGUGUGACGCCUGCCCGGUGCCGGAAGGUUAAUUGAUGGGGUUAGCGCAAGCGAAGCUCUUGAUCGAAGCCCCGGUAAACGGCGGCCGUAACUAUAACGGUCCUAAGGUAGCGAAAUUCCUUGUCGGGUAAGUUCCGACCUGCACGAAUGGCGUAAUGAUGGCCAGGCUGUCUCCACCCGAGACUCAGUGAAAUUGAACUCGCUGUGAAGAUGCAGUGUACCCGCGGCAAGACGGAAAGACCCCGUGAACCUUUACUAUAGCUUGACACUGAACAUUGAGCCUUGAUGUGUAGGAUAGGUGGGAGGCUUUGAAGUGUGGACGCCAGUCUGCAUGGAGCCGACCUUGAAAUACCACCCUUUAAUGUUUGAUGUUCUAACGUUGACCCGUAAUCCGGGUUGCGGACAGUGUCUGGUGGGUAGUUUGACUGGGGCGGUCUCCUCCUAAAGAGUAACGGAGGAGCACGAAGGUUGGCUAAUCCUGGUCGGACAUCAGGAGGUUAGUGCAAUGGCAUAAGCCAGCUUGACUGCGAGCGUGACGGCGCGAGCAGGUGCGAAAGCAGGUCAUAGUGAUCCGGUGGUUCUGAAUGGAAGGGCCAUCGCUCAACGGAUAAAAGGUACUCCGGGGAUAACAGGCUGAUACCGCCCAAGAGUUCAUAUCGACGGCGGUGUUUGGCACCUCGAUGUCGGCUCAUCACAUCCUGGGGCUGAAGUAGGUCCCAAGGGUAUGGCUGUUCGCCAUUUAAAGUGGUACGCGAGCUGGGUUUAGAACGUCGUGAGACAGUUCGGUCCCUAUCUGCCGUGGGCGCUGGAGAACUGAGGGGGGCUGCUCCUAGUACGAGAGGACCGGAGUGGACGCAUCACUGGUGUUCGGGUUGUCAUGCCAAUGGCACUGCCCGGUAGCUAAAUGCGGAAGAGAUAAGUGCUGAAAGCAUCUAAGCACGAAACUUGCCCCGAGAUGAGUUCUCCCUGACUCCUUGA